rnacentral:rRNA from 1 species
GGNUCAACCAUAGUUCGCUUUGGAAACUGUCAAACUUGAGUGCAGAAGGGGAGAGUGGAAUUCCAUGUGUAGCGGUGAAAUGCGUAGAUAUAUGGAGGANCACCGGUGGCGAAAGCGGCUCUCUGGUCUGUAACUGACGCUGAGGCUCGAAAGCGUGGGGAGCGAACAGGAUUAGAUACCCUGGUAGUCCACGCCGUAAACGAUGAGUGCUAGGUGUUGGGUCCUUUCCGGGAUUCAGUGCCGCAGCUAACGCAUUAAGCACUCCGCCUGGGGAGUACGACCGCAAGGUUGAAACUCAAAGGAAUUGACGGGGGCCCGCACAAGCGGUGGAGCAUGUGGUUUAAUUCGAAGCAACGCGAAGAACCUUACCAGGUCUUGACAUCCCGAUGCUAUUUCUAGAGAUAGGAAGUUACUUCGGUACAUCGGUGACAGGUGAUGCAUGGUUGUCGUCAGCUCGUGUCGUGAGAUGUUGGGUUAAGNNNNNNNNCGAGCGCAACCCCUAUUGUUAGUUGCCAUCAUUCAGUUGGGCACUCUAGCGAGACUGCCGGUAAUAAACCGGAGGAAGGUGGGGAUGACGUCAAAUCAUCAUGCCCCUUAUGACCUGGGCUACACACGUGCUACAAUGGUUGGUACAACGAGUUGCGAGUCGGUGACGGCGAGCUAAUCUCUUAAAGCCAAUCUCAGUUCGGAUUGUAGGCUGCAACUC